rnacentral:rRNA from 1 species
UACGGAGGGGGCAAGCGUUGUCCGGAAUCAUUGGGCGUAAAGCGCGCGUAGGCGGCCAGAUAAGUCCGGUGUGAAAGCCACAGGCUCAACCUGUGAAUGCCGCUGGAAACUGUCUGGCUAGAGUCCGGGAGGGGCGAGUGGAAUUCCUGGUGUAGCGGUGAAAUGCGCAGAUAUCAGGAGGAACACCAAUGGCGAAGGCAGCUCGCUGGAACGGAACUGACGCUGAGGUGCGAAAGCGUGGGGAGCAAACAGG